rnacentral:rRNA from 1 species
CAGCAGCCACGGUAAUACGUAGGGUGCGAGCGUUAAUCGGAAUUACUGGGCGUAAAGCGUGCGCAGGCGGUUGUGUAAGACAGGUGUGAAAUCCCCGGGCUUAACCUGGGAACUGCGCUUGUGACUGCACAGCUAGAGUAUGGCAGAGGGGGGUGGAAUUCCACGUGUAGCAGUGAAAUGCGUAGAGAUGUGGAGGAACACCGAUGGCGAAGGCAGCCCCCUGGGCCAAUACUGACGCUGAGGAGCGAAAGCGUGGGGAGCGAACAGGAUUAGAUACCCCUGUAGUCCCUGUCUCUUAUAC